UUUUCCUCCCGCUUAUUGAUAUGCUUAAACUCAGCGGGUAGUCCCGCCUGACCUGGGGUCAUGGUCGAGGGCCCAAAGGCUCCGGGGUCUUGCGCGAGCUCUGCCGAACGGAUUCGGUCACGGCUUCGAUCGAGUUGAGGUUUUCAACCACCACUUGUCGUGACGUCCCGAGCGGAGGACUCGGAUUUAGGCCGGCCGCGCCGCGGGGGCACGGGAGGCCAACAUCCGUCACCCGCCUCGAUGCGCCGGAGCGCGGUGAGGGGGGCGGCGACGAUGCGUGACGCCCAGGCAGACGUGCCCUCAGCCUAAUGGCUUCGGGCGCAACUUGCGUUCAAAAACUCGAUGGUUCACGGGAUUCUGCAAUUCACACCAAGUAUCGCAUUUCGCUACGUUCUUCAUCGAUGCGAGAGCCUAGAUAUCCGUUGCCGAGAGUCGUAUUGGUUACGAUUCAGACGCCCCGCGCCACGCCUGCGGAAUCCGCAGGGGGACGCGGACGAUCCGUUUUAGUAGUCCUUGGCGCAAUCCGCGCCGGAAGUAAAAUUAGGAGUUCCAUCCUCCGCUUAUUGAUAUGCCUUGUUACGACUUUUACUUCCAUCCUCCGGCUUAUUGAUUGCCUUUUACGGCUAGUCCACAACCUAAACGCCCCU
rnacentral:misc_RNA from 1 species